rnacentral:lncRNA from 1 species
GUGAAAGAGCAGUUUUUACAAAGAGCAGUUUUUAAUGAAGCACGGCACAUGGCAUCAUUAUCAUUUCUAACACAGAGAAUUCAUUUUCAAUUUUGCUAUCAAAGAAAAAUGACAAAUAGAGAAUGCAAGAAAAACCAGAUGGACUAACUGUAUUAGGAGCUUAGUAUGCAUAUUUUGUGUCACAUAUUAGCAUUCAUUAAGUCAAAAUGGAAAAAAAUGAGUUUUGCCUACAUGCAUUAAACCAAUAAGGCUGGCAAAGUUCCAAGCUAGCUCUUGUGGAUUAAUUGUUUUAUAACUGUUUUAAUUAAAAUUGUUCAGUAUAUGAUUAACCUAAAAGUUUUAAUUUCCACAAAACUGUUGAACAAAUGAGACAUUAAUAUUUUACAUUAACCAUGGUGAUAUUGCUGUGGUUUUUCCAAGCGACUGCUUGUUUGAGUAAACCAUGGAAAGUGGCAGGUGGAAAGUACCUUGUCUCGUGCAGUGCCCAAGAAAACCUGCAAGUUGAGAAUCACUUAGUGAAAGGACCAGUGUGACAGGGUCGUGCGUUACACUGAAAAUUCCUUUGAUGAGGAUUCAUGGAAUCAGCCUCCCCACUUUCUUUCAGUUUAGAGCUGAGCCUCUUAUAAAUUGUCAUGUUGAGGAGGUUAACAGUAUAACAUGGCAAAAAUGAGUUAUUGUGUCUUUUCUUUCUAUUUGGCUUCCUAAUGGUGUUGGGGUACCACAUGAAAUCGUUGAAUUUGAAGGAGUUGGCCAGUAGGGCCUGCGAAAUUAUUUGACGUUGCAAAGCUCUGUGGUUUUAGUUUAGGAGACAGGUACAAAUGUUGAUUUUGGAAUCAAAAGGAAGGUAGGAAAGGUUUGGAUCACCUUUAUUUACUUGCUGUUCUGAAGGUUGGCACCAGGCUGGCUUUAGAAAAACACAUACCAUUUGGUAAACCUGAGGCCCAGUAAAAUUUCGCUCUGUGGAGCUGUAGCUCAAUCAAUAUGUAGAUAUGCCUUUCUGUCACUCAUUCAUCUCCCCACUUAUGCUCCCAUCUUGAUUUAUUUCAGUUUAUUAAGAGAUCGGGAUGGAAGUUUCUUGGAAGCUUAGCAGGUUGAGCACCCAGAGUUGUCACUGCUGUGGUGUGAAUUUGAUUCCUGGCCCUGGAACCUCUGCAUGCCGUGGGUGCAGCCAAAACAAAACAGAAAGAUGAGGAUGUCUUUCUUCUCACCUCCUCUAAGCUUUUUACUCUGACUUCAUUCUGGGUUCAGGUCAUGGUACUAUGUAAAUUUCAAAGUGCUGGUGUUAUUUGAAUCCCAUAGGAGGAUAUUUUAAAAGAUAGGUUUCAUACUGCUUAGUGGAAAUCAUGAUGACAAAAUUUAUGCUGGUCCUAACUGUCCAUAUAUUAAUAAAUUCUUUAGAGUCCUAGGCUGAGUUUACCUUUUGGGGUUUAUGACACUUGGUACCAGAUCUUCUUUGCGGUCUUAGAUCUGCAGAGUCUGGGAUGCAACAUUUGAACGGUAGAAGUAAUAUCUCCCUUGCAUGUACUUUGUCAGGAUCAUAUGGCAUUUCAAUCUAUCCAGAGUUCAGCUGCAGCCCUGAUUUGAUCUCUUCCUUACUUUGUCCCAUGGUUUUUUCCGUAGUACCAUAAACUUUCCUGUGCUACCCUUCCCCUCUGUUCUGUAUAAUCAUUCUCCUUCCUAAAGUUCCCCUGUUUAGCUUUUUAAGCACUGCCCUUUGAAUAAAUUAUUCAUAUAUUCAGUAUAUUUGAAGGAUUUAAUAAUCAGAGUAUAAUCAUACAUUUUAUGGUUGUAUAAUUGUCUGUACAAGUUGCCAUAUUUGCCAGAAACCAGCUUUACACAAGUGAUUUUCAAGAUAAGUGGUUUAUCAGGCGUGUUGCUAUCUGUUCGUUUCUUUAGGCUCUCCUGAGUUCUCUCACUACUGAAGUUAGAUCAUUAGAAAUGCGCAUACCUGGACUGUAUUAUUUUGGUGCUUCAGAGAAUUGCCGUCAUGGAGUUACAGUACUAUGUCCUUGGUAAAUGGAGAGUAAGGGCACUCAGUUUAAGAAUUCUGUAUCCUGUAUUCCCAAGAAUAUCUCUGUCUUUUGAAAAACCUUAAAAAGACUCUGCUAUUUUAAUGUUAUAAACGCACACACACAGACAAAUCGAUCUUUCUUUGAGAAUUCAAUGCAGGAAAAAUUUUCUCCUGACCAACGUAUGCAUUCUUUUAACUCUCAAAUGUUUACUGAAUGAAUGAAUACUAUGUGGUUAGGUAAGAGUCCUUUUGCGCUUUCUAGUCCUUUCUAGUCUAUUCCGAACUUCAUUCAAUAACCAACUUUAAGAACCCUAAAUCCCUGGUGGUCAAGUACUAUUACUCUUUUGCUUGGUAAGUACUGUUCUCCAUCUACCCCCCCCCUUUUUUUUUGGUCUUUUUAGUCCCACACCCACAGCAUAUAUGGAGUUCCCAGGCCAGGGGUUGAAUCCAAACUGCAGCUGUCGGCCUACACCACAGCCACAGCAACGCAAGAUCCUUAACCCACUGAGCGAGACCAGGGAUCAAACCUGCAUCCUCGUGGAUACUAGUCGGGUUCCUUACUGCUGAGCCAUGACAGGAACUUCUCCAUCUACUUUUAAUAGGUUUUUCUCUGGUUAAAAUGGUCUUGUUGAUCACGGUACGUCUGUGCAGAAAGACAUGCAUAGCCACUUCACCAUGUUCCCCAUGAAAAGAGAACUCCUCUUAUUGUUCAGUAAGAGGAGUCAAGCAUAUGGUUUUCUGGACCUGUGAGAUCAGAGAUUCUUGCUGUUAAGAUAGCACAACAAAUGCCAAAAGCAGGAUUUUUCAUGAGUGCCAAAUAUAGGAAUAAGAAGAUAGUUGGGGUCUUACUACCUUCAUUUGAUCUCUCUUUUCCAUUUCAUUGUUUAUAAAUGUGUCCUCUGCUCCCCUGGAUCCUGUUUCCAGUCCAGUAGCAGUGAUUACUGUUGAUGCAAACCUCCCAGCUCUGAGGCCAGGUAUUUUCUUGCCCACCUCUGCAGCCUGCCUUCCACCUCUACCCCUCCAUAAAAAUUAUGCUUGUAUUGCUCUUCAUCAGCUACAGGGCUGCACUUUUCUCAUUUGUUUUUCUGAUGCAGCAACAGCCCUUCCAAAAAUACCAUCAAGGCUAAUAAUAAUCCUUUUGCUGCUCAAUACAUCUUUUGUCUGAGGCUUAGUUACUGUCGCAGUUGAUGGCAUGCCAGCUGAUGGUGAGCAACAAAUGAAUGUUUAAAUAGUGUCUAAUUCAACAGAUGUGCCAGUCCAGGUAAUUCUCCCAAUAGUGGCCACACAGCGAGUGGAAGGAGAGCAGUAACUGAGUGUACAGUGGGUUGUCAGCUCAUUCUUGGUAAUUAUAGUUUGACUUAUCUUGCCUCAAUUCAGUUUUUAUGACUCUGUUUGGCUACUUUAUUUUGAUAGAUGUAGCAGUGUGGCUUCCACUUGGGGAGGUUUACAUUUUCAAAUCAUGAGGAAAAUUAUGAUGAUAGCGCAGCUUUAGUAAUUUCCAGUGAUCAUCACCAAAUAAUAUUUUCUGGGAGUCCUAGGUGUAGAAAACUCAUCUUUGUAAGUGCACAUAUAGUAUUCUUUACCCUCUUAUCAAAGCACAUGCUUGCGGCUGGCCCACUUUUAACAUUACUCAAGGAAGGAAGGAGGAAACUGCCUAUCCACUAUUACUACACAGUACUUAAAAUAUACAGACCGAUAUAUCUUAGCACAUAGCAGUCUUUUGUGAAGAUACCUUGUCAAUCAAGAUAAGUAAAUCUCUUCUCUCUUUUCCAUGAACCCAGCAGCCAAAUUGCUUCUAUUAUAGUUCCUUGUAAAACUGUUGUUAAAUUACUUUGUGGCUGGUUAUGUUACUUGGCUAGAAAAAUGGUACUGGAAUUUUCAGCUUUAGUCCUAUGCUGCCCAUCUUUCCUAACUUAUGGUCAGCCAUAUGUUUACACCAGAUGAGGUAGGACGAAUCAUUGGAUACAAGUGCAUUCUUGGAAAAGAUAGCAAAAAUUGUAUUCUACUAAAAGCAUGAAUUAGUUUUUCUCCUCAUAUAUGGGCUGUACGUUCAUACCUAUAGCAGGAACCUAUCAUUUCCCCCCUGGUAUUAAUAAUAAUAGUUUCUUGGUGAUAAGGAUUAAAAUAAACGUCAGGAGAGUGGGGGGAGGGGCAAAGGGGGUUUGAUCAUUGAGGGGCAGUUAACGGGCUUUUAAGGGACUGUAAUAUAUUACUUCUUAACCGUGACUGUGGUUACAGGUAGUGCUCAGGUUAUUCUUUUGGGAAACAUACCUGUUUUAUGUAGUUUUUUGUAUAUGUGUAUGUAAUAUGUUUCACUGUAUUUAUAUGUUUACUGGAUAAAAAUGUGGAAAAUACCCAAAAGAGCUCAAGGCAAAAAUGUUUUCUUUAAUCCUUCCACCAAGAGAUAAUCCCUUUUCUUUUUGGACAUGUAUCUUCUCAGUAUUUUGGGGACAAAAAUAUGUACCCGUAUGUAUGUUAUAUAUCUAAACCUGACUUUUUGAUUCAUUGUAUUGUAAUAUUUUUGUAUGAGGUUUCAGGAUUCUGUACAAUUAAUUUUAAUAGCUAUAUAAAGUACCAGUGUUUGGAUACAUCAUAGUUUAUUUACCCAAUCCUCUGUUAUUUAACAUUUAGGUUCUUUUUCUUUUCCUUCCUUCCCUCUCUUUCUUUCUUUUCUUUUCUUUCUUUCUUUUCUUCCUUUCUUUUCUUUCUUUUCUUUCUUUCUUUCUUUCUUUCUUUCUUUCUUUCUUUCUUUUCUUUCUUUCUUUCUCCUUCCUUCCUUCUUUCCUUCCUUCCUUCCUUCCUUCCUUCCUUCUUUCCUUCCUUCCUUCCUUCCUUCUUUUUCUUUCUCUCUCUGCACCUGUGGCAUAUGGAAGUUCCCAGGCUAGGGAUUGAAUUGGAGCUUCAGCUGCUGGCCUGCAUCACAGCCACCACAAUUCAGGAUCCAAGCCGCAUCUAUGACCUAUAACACAGCUCACAGCAACGCCAUAUCCUUAAACCACUAGAUGAGGCCAGGGAUUGAACCUUUAUCCUCAUAGAUACUAGUUGGGUUUGUUACUGCUGAGCCACGAUGGGAACUCCUAGGUUAUUUCUAAUAUUUAAAUAUUAUAAAUGACAUGUUUAUCUUGUAGGUAUUUGAAACUAAAUAGCCUAUUUGGACUCUUUAUUUAGUAUAUAGACAUUUCAUAAAAGGUAAAUUUUGUUAGAUAACUGUAGCUUCAAAAACUACUUGAAAGCUGCUUUUUUUUCUCCCUUAAAGAAAAUUGAAAACACAUUCAAAUUUUUCCUUUUAUGAGUAGGUAUAUGUGGUGUGGUGGGUGUAAGUUGAAAUGACGGCAACAUCUUUAUACUCUUUUGUGGACUGGGAAGAUGUUUUACGCAUUCACUUAUUGCGUGUUUAUUGGACAUUAUUGGUAUGCCAGGUGCUUUAUUCCAGAUCUGAAGAUACAGAGAUGGAGACCUGGUUUCUCCUUUCACAGUCAGGCGACAUAAAGAACAUCAGCUCUUGGGUUUUGCCAGCCCAUGGACUCUUGGGUUUAUGGAUCUAAACAUUUCUACUUGGGUGACUUUGCUGUGAUUUAUAUUAUUAAACCGGUGAUUUAGGAGCUUAUAUUCUAGCACUGCUGCUACUUUAUCCUCUUUCCUUAAACCCCUCAUCCCUAAACCCUAUGUCCUUCUUUUAGGCUGACUCCUGGAACUCAGAGCUUGGUGGGCAAGACCUGAAUAGGGCCGAAAUGGAAAUUAUCUUUUCAUUCACAGCAUGAGCUUGACUGAGGAUGGGCUGUGCCUUAACUCCUCUCUGGCAUUAGUAAGGCUUGUCUGCCUCUAAAAUUCUGUGAUUUCUGGAGCUUGAUGAAGGAGAAUGUGAGAAAAAGAAUGUGUAUUUGUAUGUGUGACUGGGUCACUUUGCUGCACAGUAGAAAAUGAUCAGAACACUGUAAUAUAAUGGAACUAGAGUGGAA